rnacentral:rRNA from 1 species
UUGGCAGGGUGCAAUGUGGUGUUUGGGAGGGUCCAUUCGCGCCUUGAGCUCUGAUGUCCAAGUCCCCCUGACCGGGGCCAUCGCCCGUUGAGGGUGCAAGGCCUGUUGGGCAGGGCUGUGUCUCCGAUCUCGGCGCGUCGGGUCCCUUCCUAGGAGUCGGGUUGCUUGAGAGUGCAGCCCAAAGUGGGUGGUAAACUCCACCUAAGGCUAAAUAUUUUCCACGAGACCGAUAGCAAACAAGUACCGUGAGGGAAAGUUGCAAAGAACUUUGAAGAGAGAGUUCAAGAGUGCGUGAAACCGUUCGGAGGUAAACGGGUGGGAGCGCGAAGGUCGAACGGAUGGGGAGGGAUUCAACUUGGCGUGAUGGCGUCUCCCUCGGCAUGGUUUGGCUCGAGUCGAGCGGCGGUUCUGCCGUCGUUGUGGUCUCGGUCACCGGCUGGGAGCUUGCGCCGUCUCCGCCUUGUGCAUUUCCCUAUUCCCCCUCUCCUAGUAGGACGCCGUGACCGGCUGCUGAGGGGAGCCCAGGAGCUGGCGGGGGUAGCUGCGCGGACGAGUAUGGGAUUCGUUCCCUGCGUUCGGUCUGUCUGCCCCCCGCCGUUCAGCGGGUGCUCUCUCCGGCCGAGGAAUGCUGAAGCGAGAUGUUGUGGAUUUUUUCCACAACCUCGUCCAAGCGCGUGCCCACCAAACAACUUGUGGGUGCGGGUCGAAAGAGUCCAACGGGUGGCGGUGAGCGGCAUGUUGGCCAGCCUCGUGCUGUGUUCCAGCGGUUGUCUCGCGUCUGCUGCCGUCUGUCAGGGCGCUGACUCCCGCAUCUAUAGGGCGCUGGGGGUCGACGGCGAGUAGGUCGGUUUCCCACCCGACCCGUCUUGAAACACGGACCAAGAAGUCUAACGUGUGGGCGAGUCUUCGGGGACUUUGUGAACCCUUUGAAGGCGUAAUAAAAGUGAAGGUCCCGUGUCGGAGCCAAUUUCAUUGGAUCUGGCCGGGGCUGUAGUGGGAUCCCCCGUCUAAGGGCGGGGGCG